GAUGAACGCUGGCGGCGUGCCUAAUACAUGCAAGUCGAGCGAACGGACGAGAAGCUUGCUUCUCUGAUGUUAGCGGCGGACGGGUGAGUAACACGUGGAUAACCUACCUAUAAGACUGGGAUAACUUCGGGAAACCGGAGCUAAUACCGGAUAAUAUUUUGAACCGCAUGGUUCAAAAGUGAAAGACGGUCUUGCUGUCACUUAUAGAUGGAUCCGCGCUGAUUUAGCUAGUUGGUAAGGUAACGGCUUACCAAGGCAACGAUGAAUAGCCGACCUGAGAGGUGGACCGCCACACUGGAACUGAGACACGGUCCAGACUCCUACGGGAGGCAGCAGUAGGGAAUCUUCCGCAAUGGGCGAAAGCCUGACGGAGCAACGCCGCGUGAGUGAUGAAGGUCUUCGGAUCGUAAAACUCUGUUAUUAGGGAAGAACAUAUGUGUAAGUAACUGUGCACAUCUUGACGGUACCUAAUCAGAAAGCCACGGCUAACUACGUG
rnacentral:rRNA from 1 species